GCAAGGCGAGGGGAAACGACAUCGAAAGCUUGCUUUUGAUGGGCGUCGACCGGCGCACGGGUGAGUAACGCGUAUCCAACCUGCCCACCACUUGGGAAUAGCCUUGCGAAAGUAAGACUAAUACCCAAUGAUAUCUCUAGAAGACAUCUGAAAGAGAUUAAAGAUUUAUCGGUGAUGGAUGGGGAUGCGUCUGAUUAGCUUGUUGGCGGGGUAGCGGCCCACCAAGGCGACGAUCAGUAGGGGUUCUGAGAGGAAGGUCCCCCACAUUGGAACUGAGACACGGUCCAAACUCCUACGGGAGGCAGCAGUGAGGAAUAUUGGUCAAUGGGCGAGAGCCUGAACCAGCCAAGUAGCGUGCAGGAAGACGGCCCUAUGGGUUGUAAACUGCUUUUAUAAGGGAAUAAAGUGAGUCUCGUGAGACUUUUUGCAUGUACCUUAUGAAUAAAGACCGGCUAAUUCCGUGCCAGCAGCCGCGGUAAUACGGAAGGUCCGGGCGUUAUCCGGAUUUAUUGGGUUUAAAGGGAGCGUAGGCCGGAGAUUAAGCGUGUUGUGAAAUGUAGACGCUCAACGUCUGCACUGCAGCGCGAACUGGUUUCCUUGAGUACGCACAAAGUGGGCGGAAUUCGUGGUGUAGCGGUGAAAUGCUUAGAUAUCACGAAGAAC
rnacentral:rRNA from 1 species